rnacentral:rRNA from 1 species
ACUACGGGUGGCAGCAGUGAGGAAUAUUGGUCAAUGGACGCAAGUCUGAACCAGCCAUGCCGCGUGCAUGAAGACGGCUCUAUGAGUUGUAAACUGCUUUUGUACGAGGGUAAAUCCCGAUACGUGUAUCGGGUCGCACGUAUCGUACGAAUAAGGAUCGGCUAACUCCGUGCCAGCAGCCGCGGUAAUACGGAGGAUUCAAGCGUUAUCCGGAUUUAUUGGGUUUAAAGGGGGCGUAGGCGGUUCGAGAAGUUAGAGGUGAACGCCCGGGGCUAAACUCCGGCACUGCCUCUGAUACUGUCGGGCGAGAAGUAUGCGGAAUGCGUGGUGGAGCGGUGAAAUGCAUAGAUAUCACGCAGAACUCCGAUUGCGGAGGCAGCAUACCGGCGCCCAACUGACGCUGAAGCACGAAAGCGUGGGUAUCGAACAGGAUUAGAUACCCUUGUAGUC